UGCAAUAAGUAAACAAAUCUCUCUCCCCCUUCAUGACCUUGGUGCGGUUUCUACGCACUAAGUCUGUAUUCCUGAGACUCUGUUGUUUUUUUUCUGACCAUGACAGAAGCCACAGUUUGCGCGUCAGAAUGAGUGACCUAACAACGGAAGAAAAGGUGUUUCUUAUUGAAUGCUACUUUUCUAGAGGAAAAGUAUACCGUGAAGCUUUUAGAGGCUUUCGAAGUAAAUUUGGAACACAUAGAGUUGCUAAUGAAAACCUGUGUACUGGUAUUUGUUUAUAAUAUCCAUGUGCAUGUGGACUUCAUGUCGAUUUUUGGCAAUUAUACGGUAUAAAAAUAAUUGAAACUAAACAUUUUGCAGAGUGAUCGAUAACUUUGUGCAACACGGCACGCUCCAGGACUGAAGACAUGAUAAUCCGGGCCUUUCCUAUUCAGUGAUAACGGAAGACACAUUAGAGGAUGUUGAGCAAUAUUUUGCCGAAAAUCCCAAUGCAUCCGUUCGAAAAGCUGCCCAAACGUUGAAUAUAUCGAAGACAACGUUACACAGGAUCCUUAAACAUUUUUUGAAGAUGCAUCUGUUCAAAAUAACGACACAUCAGUUAUUAACACAAGAUGCUAUGGUCAAACGGGUGGAAUUCUGUUAAAAUAUGACACAGAUGUUCGAGAACGAAGAAUUGAACGAGAAUGCAAUUAUUUUCUUAGACGAGGCACAUUUCUGGUUAAACGGAUACGUGAACAAACAGAAUUAUCGUUUCUGGGGAAAAGAAAAUCCUAACGUCACGUCUGCGAAGCCUCUCCAUCCAGAGAAAAUUACAGUAUGGGUAGCAAUCUCAGUAAAGGGAAGUUUCCUGCAAGUCUUGGAUUCUACUGUCACGGCAGAAAGUUACAAGGAAUUGUUGGAGACAACAUUCUUUUCUCACGCAAAGAAAAGGAGCCUAGUGAAAAAUUUCCAUUUCAUGCAGGACGGAGCAGCACCACACCGCACAACGGAAGUACUCAAGGUACAGCAAGCUCCACUGCUAUGCCGAAAACCCCAAAUCAAAGGUAGAACUAAUCACGGCAAUAAAAAAAGUGGGCAGUGGUAUUAAAACAGAUAUGUUAAAGCGUGUUUUCUACAAUUUCCGCAAAAGAAUUGACUAUUUUGCAAAUUCUAAAUGGUGCUCACUUUGAAAAUGUGCUCACUUUGGAAAUUUGCGCCAAAGACGUCGUGGAGCGACAGACCCACAGUUGAAACUGCCGCUAAUAAUGCUUCAAUACUUUUCAACAAUUGUCAUAUUGGCCUCAUUAAUUUAUUGGAGAUAUUGGAAAUAAAAAUUGGUGAAGCACUCUACCAAUAUUGUCUAAACAUUGAUGAGAAACGGAUAUGCGACGCCGAGCACGAAGCUGAAGAAAACACGCAUGAGGGUCGUCUGCGUGCAAAGCACGGAAAAAAUGAUGAGUCUCUGGACGUUGAGGAGCUGUUCUAUGGUCCAGGAAUAGCAGACUGAUGAUGAACCGUAUGGCUCAAUUGCUGUCAACCACUAAGCAGCAACUUUAUCGGAGUGUCUUUUUGGAAACGGCGUACACCGCAAACUAUUCUGAAGAUUCGAAUAAACAAAUCUGUGUAAUCUUCUAUAUAUAUAUAUUAAAUAUUAGUAUCAAUAAAAAAUAACCAUUCAUCGUU